AGUGAACGCUGGCGGCAGGCCUAACACAUGCAAGUCGAGCGAGAAGACGUAGCAAUACGUUUGUAAAGCGGCGAACGGGUGAGGAAUACAUGGGUAACCUACCCUCGAGUGGGGAAUAACUAGCCGAAAGGUUAGCUAAUACCGCGUACGCUCCUUGGACUUCGGUUCAGGGAGGAAAGCGAUACCGUGGGUAUCGCGCUCUUGGAUGGGCUCAUGUCCUAUCAGCUUGUUGGNGAGGUAACGGCUCACCAAGGCUUCGACGGGUAGCUGGUCUGAGAGGACGAUCAGCCACACUGGCACUGCGACACGGGCCAGACUCCUACGGGAGGCAGCAGUAAGGAAUAUUGCGCAAUGGGCGAAAGCCUGACGCAGCGACGCCGCGUGGGGGA
rnacentral:rRNA from 1 species